rnacentral:rRNA from 1 species
AAUACCUGAUACGGUAUUCAUGCUGGAGUGCAGAAUACCUCAAACGCUACGGCGCUACAGGAUGUGGCUGCGGCCGAUUAGGUAGACGGUGGGGUAACGGCCCACCGUGCCGAUAAUCGGUACGGGUUGUGAGAGCAAGAGCCCGGAGACGGAAUCUGAGACAAGAUUCCGGGCCCUACGGGGCGCAGCAGGCGCGAAACCUUUACACUGCACGCCAGUGCGAUAAGGGGACCCCAAGUGUGAGGGCAUAUAGCCCUCACUUUUGUGUACCGUAGGGAGGUACACGAAUAAGAGCUGGGCAAGACCGGUGCCAGCCGCCGCGGUAAUACCGGCAGCUCGAGUGAUGACCGAUUUUAUUGGGCCUAAAGCGUCCGUAGCUGGCCGCGUAGGUUCGUCGGGAAAUCCACCUGCUCAACAGGUGGGCGUCCGGCGAAAACCACGUGGCUUGGGACCGGAAGGCUCGAGGGGUACGUCCGGGGUAGGAGUGAAAUCCCGUAAUCCUGGACGGACCGCCGAUGGCGAAAGCACCUCGAGAAGACGGAUCCGACAGUGAGGGACGAAAGCUGGGGUCUCGAACCGGAUUAGAUACCCGGGUAGUCCCAGCCGUAAACAAUGCCUGUUAGGUGUGGCACCGACUACGAGUCGGUGCUGUGCCGUA